ACGACCUUACUUGAACAGGAUCUGUUCUAUAGGCUCGUACCGCUGCAUCCUUUACCAAUAAGGAGGCAAGCACUUCAGUCUGGUUGAUGCAUUCUAACCUCUAGGCCAGAGCGUGAUUAACGGCCUGGAUUCACCUGAUGGGUGCCAUCCGACGGCUGUAGAGGAUCGUUCCUGCCUGGUUUCACACCAGCGCAGGGUGGCUCAGAGGUUGUCUGACAGACU
rnacentral:snoRNA from 2 species